rnacentral:sRNA from 1 species
UAGAAUCCCGAAGAGUCAUCACUACAGAGUUUACAACUCCCAAACCCAAUGUGAACGUUACCAAACUGUUGCCUCGGCGGGGUCACGCCCCGGGUGCGUCGCAGCCCCGGAACCAGGCGCCCGCCGGAGGAACCAACCAAACUCUUUCUGUAGUCCCCUCGCGGACGUAUUUCUUACAGCUCUGAGCAAAAAUUCAAAAUGAAUCAAAACUUUCAACAACGGAUCUCUUGGUUCUGGCAUCGAUGAAGAACGCAGCGAAAUGCGAUAAGUAAUGUGAAUUGCAGAAUUCAGUGAAUCAUCGAAUCUUUGAACGCACAUUGCGCCCGCCAGUAUUCUGGCGGGCAUGCCUGUCCGAGCGUCAUUUCAACCCUCGAACCCCUCCGGGGGAUCGGCGUUGGGGAUCGGGACCCCUCACACGGGUGCCGGCCCCUAAAUACAGUGGCGGUCUCGCCGCAGCCUCUCCUGCGCAGUAGUUUGCACAACUCGCACCGGGAGCGCGGCGCGUCCACGUCCGUAAAACACCCAACUUUCUGAAAUGUUGACCUCGGAUCAGGUAGGAAUACCCGCUGAACUUAAGCAUAUCUAAAACCGGGA